GACGGAGGAUGCAAGCGUUAUCCGGAAUGAUUGGGCGUAAAGCGUCCGCAGGUGGCAGUUCAAGUCUGCUGUCAAAGACCGGGGCUUAACUUCGGAAAGGCAGUGGAAACUGAACAGCUAGAGUAUGGUAGGGGCAGAGGGAAUUCCUGGUGUAGCGGUGAAAUGCGUAGAGAUUGGAAAGAACACCGAUGGCGAAGGCACUUUACUGGGCUAUUACUAACACUCAGAGACGAAAGCUAGGGUAGCAAAUGGGG
rnacentral:rRNA from 1 species